rnacentral:lncRNA from 1 species
GUGAGCCGACCGGCUUGGCGGGGUCUGAGACUGCCCAAGCGCAAACAGGGCUUCGAACUCUGAAUUCACGGGCUAGUCUGGAAAUGCCAGUACCUGGGAAACUCGAACUUGGCUUUUCAGCGCCGCUUUUCCCUGUAUCCCCUCCAUCCCUCUGGCUGCCACCGUCCUCCCUCUGGACCCCGUGGUCAGGCUCGCUGCAGAGCCCCGUGGACCCCGCCGGGCUGAGCGGUCCACACCUCGGUCAGCCCUCUUGGAAGGACUGCCCCAGCCAUGUUAUAAAAGGAGGAAAUGUCACAGUGGGCAGACCCCACUCCUGCGUUAUAGACAGGAAACUCAGGCGUACAGUUUCUCUAAUUCCAAGUUCGACGUUACUACCUGCUUCUCAAAUGAGUAAUUGGCAGCCUCAAUUCUCUGCAGAGGGGAUGCAGAAUAGCAGAGUAUCUGUGAUACAACUUUCGGGAACAUCAAUUUUACUACAAGAUUUAUAACAAAUGGAGUUAAGUAACUUCCAAGGUGCUGGAUACACAGUCUGAACAGCACAGUUUAGGGUCCUGUGCUAUGAAGAAACCUACAUGCUAAUCCUGGGAAAUGAGACAAGCAACAAGCAAGUGAACCCAGGAAAAACCAGUGUCACUUCAGAUGGUGAUAAAGCAGGGUCAUGUGAUCGAGCGAGCCCAAAUGGCUAGUGGACAGAAGGUCACUCUAUUUUAGAUUGGCUGGUCAGGGUAGGUCUCUCUAAGGAGGUAAGAUUCAAGCUUUCCAGGUAGGAGGUACAGUCGAAGAAUGUAUCCAUGAAGGUGAGAGCCCAUUUGAGUGCUGUGGAUGCCAGCCUGGGAAAGUGACCGAUGGGGAGAAAGGUAUCAGGCUAAAGGUCAGAGGAUUCAGCAUGGGGUCACUCCAGUGUAGAACACAUGGCCACUUUGUCAGCAUCCAUACUGUUGCCAGAACUGGGCCAGCAGUAAAUGAAAAGGACUGUUCCCUGCAUGACAAUGAUGCCUGUGAGGGGUAAGGCACAGGUGGAAAAGGCUUUGCAUCUUCCCUCUGCAGAGAGCAUCCUCAGGAUGGUGAUGAGAACAAACAGUAGGAGGUGAGGAUGAUCACGGUGGUGAUGAUCUCACUAAAAGUGGCCACAAGGAACACCAUCAGUUCAUUAAUAGAGAUGUCACAGCAAGCACGAGUGAAGAGAGGGGGUACAUCACAAAAGAAAUCAUUAACUACACUUUACCUAUAGGAUGGGAUUUCACCAGCUAAACACAAGUGAAUCAGAGAACACACAGUUCCACAGAGGUGGCAGCCAGAAGCCAGCACCAUACAAAGUUUCUGGGACAUGGAGACCACAGAAAGCAGUGGGCUACAGAUGGCCAAGAAGCAGUCAUAGCCAUGACAGCCAGCAGGAAGACCUCGGUGACUGCACACAUGCAAAACAAGUAGAAUUGUACCAUGCAUCCCAGGAAAGAGAUGGCUUUUUCCUUGUUUAAGAUAUUGGACAGCAUCUUUGGCAUGAUGAAGAUGGAACAGCAAAAAAUCCACAAAGGACGAGAGCCUGAGGAUAAAGUACAUGGGAGUGUGAAGUCAAGAGCUGGCUUGAAUCACUGCAGUCAUGCUCAGGUUGGCCAAAACCGUGACUCCAAAUAUGAGAAGUAACAGAGGGGGUGAAAGACUGAUGCUCAGGGGCAUCUGACAGUCGAAGAAGAGUGAACUCUGUCACAAUGGUACAGUUCUCCUCCUCCAUUUCCACCGUAUGUCAGGAUAGGAAAAUAAGUGGUAAGUUUUGUGUUUCUUCUAAAAAAAAAAAGAGUAAGAGAGAAGUCAACACACUUAUAUUAACUUCAUAAAAAUAUAACAUUAAUACCAAAC